GACGAACGCUGGCGGCGUGCUUAACACAUGCAAGUCGAACGGAAAGGCCCCCACUUUUUUGGUGGGGGUGCUCAAGUGGCGAACGGGUGAGUAACACGUGGGUGAUCUGCCCUGUACUUCGGGAUAAGCUUGGGAAACUGGGUCUAAUACCGGAUAGGACCAUGGUUUAGUGUCUCAUGGUGGAAAAAUUAUUGUUUUGGUGCAGGAUGAGCUCGCGGCCUAUCAGCUUGUUGGUGGGGUAAUGGCCUACCAAGGCGUCGACGGGUAGCCGGCCUGAGAGGGUGGACGGCCACAUUGGGACUGAGAUACGGCCCAGACUCCUACGGGAGGCAGCAGUGGGGAAUAUUGCACAAUGGGCGCAAGCCUGAUGCAGCGACGCCGCGUGGGGGAUGACGGCCUUCGGGUUGUAAACUCCUUUCGUUAGGGACGAAGCCGCACCUUUUUUGGGUGUGGUGACGGUACCUUUGUUAAGAAGCACCGGCUAACUACGU
rnacentral:rRNA from 1 species